UACGUAGGGCGCAAGCGUUGUCCGGAAUUAUUGGGCGUAAAGAGCUCGUAGGCGGCCUGUUACGUCUGCUGUGAAAUCCCGGGGCUUAACCCCGGGCGUGCAGUGGAUACGGGCAGGCUGGAGGCAGGCAGGGGAGAACGGAAUUCCCGGUGUAGCGGUGAAAUGCGCAGAUAUCGGGAGGAACACCAGUGGCGAAGGCGGCUUCCUGGUCUGCGACUGACGCUGUGGCGCGAAAGCUAGGGGAGCAAACGGG
rnacentral:rRNA from 1 species